GGCAUUCCCAAGGCGGUGUUCUGUCCCUUGUCAGAAAACAACUUCCCUCAGCUCAGACUGGAUUUUGAAGAAAUAAGGAAGGGAGAGAGAGGGCAACCAAGCUUUAAGGAUUAACAAGUGGCUGAAGGGCAGAUGAAGGCAAGGGAGGAGGAAGUCCCCUGGGUCAGGUCUGGCAAGUGUAAAAGAGAGAAAGAAAUCUGAGCGUAGUGGUGGAGGGAAGCCAGCGGGAGUUUGAUGGGAGCCUUGGGGACCCACAGUUUCAACCAUUUAGCUUACAGAGGCUCACAGGCCAAGUGGUCGAAAGUGACCACAACCCCAAAUCCGUUCUGAAUGGAUGGCACAGUUGAUAAGAAUGGCGGCAGGGAACAGAAGGACAGAGAGUUGUCUUCAUAAAAUGGGCCAAUUGCGCUUCUGAGCGCAUUAAGAGAAUUGGGCGUGUCAGGAGGCUGAAGCGGUCCUGACUUUGCUGGUGUGGAAACUGGCAACGUGGUCUAGAAAGAAGUGGAGGAAUGGCAUCGAAGAAACCCAGAACCGGUGUCAAGCCAUAGAGUCCACUCAGCACCGCCAGCGUGCACAUUGGUGGAGAGCCAUCUACUGGACCGCGGACCGCAUCUUUGGAGAGAACUGACUCCCUGGCUCGCAGCAGCCAUCAACUGCCAAAGUUCUGAGGUAGGGCUGGCACGUAUGAUCACCUCUUCACUCGAUGCAGAUCCUGUGCAGGUCUCGCCUUCUGACCGUCUCAACGUCUGAAUCCAUUUGUGUUCUUCUAAGUCCCUGUACUGGCUGGUUUUGUGUGUCAACUUGACACAAGCUGGAGUUAUCACAGAGAAAGGCGCCUCCCUUGAGGAAAUGCCUCCAUGAAAUCCAUAAGGUAUUUUCUCAAUUAGUGAUUAAGGCUCGGAGGGCCCACUGUGGGUGGUGCCAUCCCUGGGCUGGUAGUCUUGGCUUCUAUAAGAAAGCAAGCUGAGCAAGCCAGGGGAAGCAAGCCAGUAAGCAGCAUCCUCCAUGGCCUCUGCAUCAGCUCCUGUCUCCAAGUUCCUGCCCUGUAUGAGUUCAAGUCCUGCAUCCUUUGGUGAUGAACAGCAAUGUGGAAGUGUAAGCUGAACAAACCCUUUCCUCCCCAACUUGCUUUUUGGUUAUGGUAUUUUGUGCAGGAAUAGAAGCCCUAACAUAAUCCCCCCUGAAAGAAUUACAUCACCCAGGUGUGCAGAUUCGUUGAUCGAGAAAUCAUUUCUCUUUAGUUCUGACGUAAACUUGCUUCAUUCACUCUACUCAUUCUAUUGCGUUCGCUGCAUUCUUUCAGUAAGAAUCGGCGGCUGAGGAGGAUUAUUUCAGCGUCUGUCUACUGUACAAGGCCCUGUCAAACCUUCUCUCUGGGGGACCAAGUUCUGCCCUUAAUUUGGUCACCCUUUUCAUUAAAGGUGGACAUUCUGGGCCAAAAGCUUAGAAGCGCAAAUCAAAUCCUGGUUUCAUGGAAGAGAUAAAAUAACUCCCAGUGAGAGUAUGUUUAAAUAAUUAUUUCCCAGUGUCUUAAAUUCCCAAACAUAGGAGGAGGCAGGUGGAUUUCUGGGAGUCCAAAGAUGUGCGUCUCUAGUUCUGUGUCUCUGUCUGUCCUUCUCUCUGCCACCCCGCCCCCCACCUCCACAGUCAUCCAUGACCUGAUCUAUGUUUCCUUAUGCACUUUUAUUUUGAGAUGGUGUUUCCCUAUAUUGUACAUGCCAGUCUUGGACAGUUGGUAGGUGUGUGCCUCUCUCUAUGUAAAUAUGUAUGUAAAUUUACAAAGGGAAAGGAGAAAUAAAAAGUACUAGUUUAUUUUUGUUACCUUUUUUAAAAUGUAGAGAUGAAGACGGCACAUGGGGCAAUCACAGCAUAUACUGUGAGUCCUCUAAUCUAUAGGAGUGGUAUCCCUGCGGGUGACACAGAUCUCUGCCACACACCAGGUCCUUCUCUCAAAAGUACUCUAGGCAACUGUUACCAUGGGGACCUAUAACAUAGGCCACACCCACCCAGAAGGCUUUUGGCUCCAGGUAGGGACUCUUACCUUCAUUUUCGGUAUUGGCUGGCACAGAGUCCACCCCAAAAGGGUGCCACGGCUGGAGGUCAUCCAGGCUGAAUUCCCCAUUCACGGGAAGGAGCUCCACGGUGGUCUUGGUUUCCGUCAGCGAAGGCAUGAGAGCGUCGUUUCCGUAGCUGAUUCUGGGCUCACUGAUCAUGUUGGCCAAGACAUCGUCGGAGUAGUUCUGCUCCUUCUGAAGCAGCUCAUCUAAAGAAAAGCCAGUGUGUCCUCGGUUAGCGUACGCUUACAGCGGCCAUUCCUACUGACUACAUGCCGUGUGUGACGAGGUGUCACUUGGCACCACCUAACAUGUAAAAAACGAAGCACCUUAAGGAAAGUCAGAGCUUAGUGGUUGACCCGAUGGGCUGCUCUGAGCCUGUGGAGACUGCUCUGAGCCUGUGGAGACUGCUCUGAGCCUGUGGAGACUGCUCUGAGCCUGUGGAGACUGCUCUGAGCCUGUGGAGACUGCUCUGAGCCUGUCGAGACUGCUCUGAGCCUGUCGAGACUGGCUGAUCUUGUUGCUGAUUCUCUUCUCCAGAGGUGAAGACCUGGAGGGUGAACUAACUGCCUUUUCCUUUCCACAGACUCCCCAUGUAUCCAGUGAUCAUGAAGGAUUCUACAGCAUGCUAUGAUGUGGGACCGGGGUAGAGUGUUAACAGCAGGCAUGGAGGUGCAGUCUGGGAACCAAGAUAUAGCGUCUGUCUACCCCCACCUCCGGGCAGAUGUGGAUGGGUGAGAAAAUAUUACAAACGGGCCUCCUGCUCCAUUCAGUCACCGUGACCUUUGCUCUGAAAACAGCUGCCUUCCCCAGAUGCAGCAGAGCUACAAACAUACACUUUGUCCUUCAAGGCAUGUCACUGAGGACCCUGAAGAAUGCUCACUGUCUGAGCUAAUCUCCUAUCUCUUCCUCUCAGGAUCAUAUAAGUGACCUGAGAUGAAAGUCCCUGAAUUUGUUUUCUGUAGCUUCUAUCUUCCCCGAAGGAAAAAAAAAAUCAACCUUAUGGAAUAUAGCUGAUCUACCCAAAGAUCUGAGAGUCCAGUAAGAAAUCCUCCAAUUGCACCUUUCAUUAUUAAAAAAGUUUACCAGGGGAACAGAAAAACAGAAUGUAAUAUAAUGAGUGUAGUUGCUACCACCAUCACCAAAACCCCCCAAAACAGAUGAUUUGUGAAUCUCCUAUUAUCUUACAAAAAGUUCCCCUGACAUUUUAUCUAUAGUUUUUUAAAAAUCAGAGGCCCAUUGAUCAUAUGGUAUUAAUACUUGAUUAAUUAAGUGUGUCAUUACUGAGUCACGCCUGUGUCAGUUUACUGAAUUAUAUUUCAAGCCCAUCACUAGUUAAUAUCAAUGCUGGAGAAAAUAAAGAAAAUUAAACCUG
rnacentral:lncRNA from 1 species